rnacentral:pre_miRNA from 7 species
CUUCGGGGUUCCUGGGUGUCACGCAGAUCUCGCUGGGGCCUCCAAAUGAAAGAACUCAGUGGGGAAACCCCCACUCAGCUCCCGAUUCGGCGUGCACCCAAGAAUCGCGAAUAGAACA